UACGUAGGGUGCAAGCGUUAAUCGGAAUUACUGGGCGUAAAGCGUGCGCAUGCGGUUUUGUAAGACUGUCGUGAAAUCCCCGGGCUUAACCUGGGAAUGGCGAUGGUGACUGCAAGGCUAGAGUGUGUCAGAGGGGGGUAGAAUUCCACGUGUAGCAGUGAAAUGCGUAGAUAUGUGGAGGAAUACCGAUGGCGAAGGCAGCCCCCUGGGAUAACACUGACGCUCAUGCACGAAAGCGUGGGGAGCAAACAGG
rnacentral:rRNA from 1 species